rnacentral:SRP_RNA from 1 species
GCCGGGUUGAGUGGCGUCAACUUGUAACGGAAAGCUUCUGUCUGGGUAGUGUGGUGUGAGGGUUGUGGUAUGCAAUGCUGUGUCACUAUUCCCAGGAUGUGGAUGGCGCGUCCAUCUCAAACCAGGAGUCGACAUUGGUACUUUCUCGUAAGGGAGGGUGUCGAGGUCACUAAGGAAGGGUGAACCGCCCCAGGCUGGCUAACAGAGCAGGGAAAAAUCCUCGCUCUUGGUAGUGGGAGGAUCUCGUGCCAGAAUCCUGAUGUGGCUCAGUAUGGCUGUCAACUGCAAUUCGAACCCCGCAC